CUCAGGAGCAGUUAGAAAAAGAUCAUUAAGGCGGACUCCGGCGGUCAUGUCGGCGCUGAGGCGGCUGGGCCCUUUCCUUCGCUAGGGAGGCCAGAGCUUCCUGGCAGGUUCGAGCAAGUGGUCUGCUGGUUGUGACAUCGGAGGAGUCCGGCAUGCUGGAGGUGGUGUACACAUUCAACCCCGCUACUGGCUUGUUCCAAGCUGAGCUGUUUAGUGCUACAAUGUGGUUUUGGAUUCUUUGGCGUUUUGGGCAUGACUCAGAUGCUGUACUGAGUCAUUUUCCACAUCCAGAUCCUUCUCAAUGGACAGAUGAAGAAUUGGGUAUUCCCCCUGAUGAUGAAGACUAAAGCAAUGUCAUCACUACUACAAGGGCCAUUAAGAAUUUGGAGCAACCAACCACUCAAACGGUUUCUUAUUCUAACAAAAGAGACUCAGGGUGAUAUAUUCAAGACUGAGCAAUCUAAUCCUUCCACUGAUGCUCCUACAUGUCCAGCAAUAGCAUUUACACUUCCAAAAUGGUGCUGA
rnacentral:lncRNA from 1 species